CCUACGGGAGGCAGCAGUGGGGGAUAUUGCACAAUGGGGGGAACCCUGAUGCAGCGACGCCGCGUGGGUGAAGGAGUGCUUCGGCAUGUAAAGCCCUAUCGGCAGGGAAGAAGCAAGACGGUACCUGACUAAGAAGCCCCGGCUAACUACGUGCCAGCAGCCGCGGUAAUCCGUAGGGGGCGAGCGUUCUCCGGAUUCACUGGGUGUAAAGGGAGCGUAGACGGCCAAGCAAGCCAGGGGUGAAAGCCCGGGGCCCAACCCCGGGACUGCACUUGGAACUGGAUGGCUGGAGUGGGGGAGGGGGAGGGGGAAGUGCUGGUGUAGGGGUGAAAUGCGUAGAUAUCAGGAGGAACACCGGCGGCGAAGGCGGCCUGCUGGACCGCGACUAACGUUGAGGCUCGAAAGCGUGGGGAGCGAACAGGAUUAGAUACCCCAGUAGUC
rnacentral:rRNA from 1 species